UACGUAGGGUGCGAGCGUUGUCCGGAAUUAUUGGGCGUAAAGAGCUUGUAGGCGGUUUGUCGCGUCUGCCGUGAAAAUCCGGGGCUCAACCCCGGACUUGCGGUGGGUACGGGCAGACUAGAGUGUGGUAGGGGAGACUGGAAUUCCUGGUGUAGCGGUGAAAUGCGCAGAUAUCAGGAAGAACACCCGUGGCGAAGGCGGCUCUCUGGAACGCAACUGACGCUGAGACGCGAAAGCGUGGGGAGCAAACAGG
rnacentral:rRNA from 1 species